rnacentral:lncRNA from 1 species
ACUGGGUGAGGGUGGGCCCCCAACGCUUGGCCUCCUUAAAAAAGGACGGUUCAGACACAGACACCCACAGGGAGACGCCCUGCAGCGGUGGAGGCGUAGACGGGAGCGCUGCAGCUGGAAGCACAGGAACGCCAGGGAAGGCUGGCCACCCCGGGAGCCAGGAGAGAGCACAGGACAGACUCUCCCUCGGAGCCUCCAGACGGAGCCAAGCCUGCCAGCGUGUGAUCUCAGACUUCUUGUCUCCGCAGCCACAGGAGAAUCCAUUCCCCUUGUCUAAGCCGCCGGUCUGUUUGGAGAUCUGUUAGGUCAACUCUAGAAAAUGAAUACAGAAAUGAAUGCAGCUCACUGCGGCUUGUCAAACGCCCUCUCUAGAAUUAAAAGCUCACAUUUAUCAACUGGGAUGGAAAAAAAGAAACAAGCCAAUCCAUCGUGGGUAGGGCCUGGGCCUCCUCUUCCCUGAGAUGCCGCUGACCCGUGGGAAGCCGUUUAUCAAAUCCAGGCUGACCGCUCCUGACACUGUCUGCGGCUGAGGCUUUUGGAGGAGCUGCUCACAUGGAAUUCUAAGUCUGCUCUGCACUGGGCCCUGGCUUCCGGGGACUUCUGCAUUUUCCUGGACUUUCUCCCUCUGGACAGAGUGAUGGAGGAAGGGAUCCUACUGGUUCCCAAGCAGCCUGCAGGGCUGUUCAUUUCCUGUUUUCUCUCAUCUCUUAACAUCCUCAAAAUCUUCCCCAAGUGGCUACUUUUGCUCUCACUUUUUCUUAACCCUUUUCCUCCCUGGUUCCUAUACGAAGUCCCUGUGGCCAGGAUGCCUCGCUUCCUAUGCCCAUGGCUGGCUUCCUCGGGCUUCACAGUUGAUCUCCUGGAGAGAUUAUUUUAUGCCUCAUCUGUGUCCUUCAUCAUUGGUGCUGAAAGGGAUAAUGAGACUACCAUGUCAGGGGAGGUGGUCGGUAAGUGGACACUGCGUAGGUGGGCACCAGCACUCCACCCCACCCAUUGCUCUUCAUCAUCAGGAGAGGAGGAAUGGGUUAUUUGGUUUUCUAGUCUUUGGAUGUUGCCUCUUCUCCCACCCAGCUUGCAAUCUGGAAGGUAUUUUACUCAGUGCCAGUCCCUCUGCCGGUGCUGGAGUUUGGAACAGAAAAGAUGCAGAAAUCAGAAAAUCCAUUAGAGCGAGGGUGACAUAGUGGGCUCCAUGGAACUUCUGGGUUUGCUGGAUAUCAGAUAUCCUUGCUGUGGCAGGCUGUAACACGCCCUCUCCCCAAAGCUAUCUACAUCCUAAUUUGGGGAAUCUACAAAUUUUACUUGAUAUGAAAACAGGGUGUUUAUAAAUGUGAUUAAGUUAAGGACCACUGGGCACGCUGGCACAUGUCUGUAAUUGCAGCAGUAUGGGAA